ACUACCCGCUGAACUUAAGCAUAUCAAUAAGCGGGAGGA
rnacentral:rRNA from 1 species